rnacentral:rRNA from 1 species
GACGAACGCUGGCGGCGUGCUUAACACAUGCAAGUCGAACGGAAAGGCCCUGCUUUUGUGGGGUGCUCGAGUGGCGAACGGGUGAGUAACACGUGAGUAACCUGCCCUUGACUUUGGGAUAACUUCAGGAAACUGGGGCUAAUACCGGAUAGGAGCUCCUGCUGCAUGGUGGGGGUUGGAAAGUUUCGGCGGUUGGGGAUGGACUCGCGGCUUAUCAGCUUGUUGGUGGGGUAGUGGCUUACCAAGGCUUUGACGGGUAGCCGGCCUGAGAGGGUGACCGGCCACAUUGGGCCUGAGAUACGGCCCAGACUCCUACGGGCGGCAGCAGUGGGGAAUAUUGCACAAUGGGCGGACGCCUGAUGCAGCAACGCCGCGUGCGGGAUGACGGCCUUCGGGUUGUAAACCGCUUUCGCCUGUGACGAAGCGUGAGUGACGGUAAUGGGUAAAGAAGCACCGGCUAACUACGUG